UGAAUACGAGAUGCUACGGCGUCGAAGCAGUGUAUGUCAGACUUCCAAGAAAAGCUCGCAAUGUCAUAAAUAAAGAAUGCCUGUACCAUAACCGACACAGGUGGGUAGGUAGAGUAUACUAAGGGGCGCGAGAUAACUCUCUCUAAGGAACUCGGCAAAAUAACUCCGUAACUUCGGGAGAAGGAGUGCCUUCUUUAAGAAGGUUGCAAUAACAAGAUCCAAGCAACUGUUUAUCAAAAACACAGGUCUCCGCUAAGUCGUAAGACGAUGUAUGGGGGCUGACGCCUGCCCAGUGCCAGAAGGUUAAAGAAGUUGGUUAGCUUUUGCGAAGCUGAUGACUGAAGCCCUGGUGAACGGCGGCCGUAGCAAUAACGGUCCUAAGGUAGCGAAAUUCCUUGUCGGGUAAGUUCCGACCCGCACGAAAGGCGUAAUGAUUUGGAUACUGUCUCGGAGAGGGACUCGGUGAAAUAGACUUGUCUGUGAAGAUGCGGACUACCUGCACCAGGACAGAAAGACCCUAUGAAGCUUUACUGUAACUUGAAAUUGAAAUUGGACUUUAUUUGCGCAGUAUAGGUGGAAGGCGUUGAAAGUAAUCUUGCGGGAUUAGUGGAGCCAUCAGUGAGAUACCACUCCUAUAAUGUUAGAUUUCUAACUUUGGAUCAUGAUCUGGUCAAAGAACAGUUUCAGGCGGGCAGUUUGACUGGGGCGGUCGCCUCCCAAAUGGUAACGGAGGCGUACAAAGGUUUCCUCUGAACGGGUAGAAAUCGUAUCUAGAGUGUAAAGGCAUAAGGAAGCUUGACUGUGAGACCUACAAGUCGAGCAGGGACGAAAGUCGGUCUUAGUGAUCUGACGGUGCUGAGUGGAAAGGCCGUCACUCAACGGAUAAAAGUUACUCUAGGAUAACAGGCUGAUCUCCCCCAAGAGUUCACAUCGACGGGGAGGUUUGGCACCUCGAUGUCGGCUCAUCGCAUCCUGGGGCGGUAGUACGUCCCAAGGGUUGGGCUGUUCGCCCAUGAAAGCGGUACGCGAGCUGGGUUCAGAACGUCGUGAGACAGUUCGGUCCAUAUCCGGUGUAGGCGUUAGAAUAUUGAGAGGAGCCUUCUUUAGUACGAGAGGACCGAGAAGGACAUACCUCUGGUGUACCAGUUAUCGUGCCAACGGUAAACGCUGGGUAGCUAUGUAUGGAGAGGAUAACCGCUGAAAGCAUCUAAGUGGGAAGCCCACCUCAAGAUGAG
rnacentral:rRNA from 1 species